rnacentral:snRNA from 1 species
GUGCUCACUUCAUCAGCAAAUACACUACAAUUAGAACUACAUAGAGAUUAGUAUGUUCCCUGCACAAGGAUGGCAUGCAAGUUAAUGAAUUGUUUUGUAGUUUU